rnacentral:lncRNA from 1 species
GGAUUCUCCAAGCAAGAAUACUGGAGUGGGUUGUCAUUUCCUUCUCCAAUGUACUCUACUACUAAUAACAUUAAAUAUAACAUUUACUAAAUUAUUAUAACAUAAUUUGAUUCUCAUGAUUCUUUACUAUGCUCUAAGGUUAUUAUUGGAAUGAAAACAGACAUUUUCCAGUCCUGUGCCCACCGCUGAGUUUUCCAAAUUUGCUGGCAUAUUGAGUGCAGCACUUUCACAGCAUCAUCUUUCAGGAUUUGAAAUAGCUCAACUGGAAUUCCAUCACCUCCACUAGCUUUGUUCAUAGUGAUGCUUUCUAAGGCCCACUUGACUUCACAUUCCAGCAUGUCUGGCUCUAGAUGAGUUAUCACACCAUCGUGAUUAUCUGGGACAUAAAGAUCUUUUUCGUACAGUUCUUCUGUGUAUUCUUGCCACCUCUUCUUAAUAUCUUCUGCUUCUGUUAGGUCCAGUCCAUACCAUUUCUGUCCUUUAUUGUGCCCGUCUUUGCAUGAAAUAUCCCCUUGGUAUCACUAAUUUUCUUGAAGUGAUCUCUAGUCUUUCCCAUUCUAUUGUUCUCUAUUUCUGUGCAUUGAUCGCUGAGGAAGGCUUCUUUAUCUCUUCUUGCUCUUCUUUGGAUCAGUGCAUUCAGAUGCUUAUGUCUUUCCUUUUCUGAAUAUUGCCUGUUAGGGUAAAGGGAAUAAAUAGUCUGUAGGGACAACACUGUAAAACACAAACAAUACUAAGUUAUAUUAAACUAGAUUUCAAAAUGGGCUUCCCCAGAGGCUCAGCAGUAAAGAAUCUGCCUGUGAUGCAGGAGGUACAGGGGACGUGGAUUCAGUCCCUGGGUUGGGAAGUUCCCCUGGAGGAGGGCAUGGCAACCCACCCCAGUAUUCUNNNNNNNNNNNNNNNNNNNNNNNNNNNNNNNNNNNNNNNNNNNNNNNNNNNNNNNNNNNNNNNNNNNNNNNNNNNNNNNNNNNNNNNNNNNNNNNNNNNNUUCUUUGGAACUCUGCAUUCAGAUGCUUAUAUCUUUCCUUUUCUCCUUUGCUUUUCGCCUCUCUUCUUUUCACAGCUAUUUGUAAGGCCUCCCCAGACAGCCAUUUUGCUUUUUUUGCAUUUCUUUUCCAUGGGGAUGGUCUUGAUCCCUGUCUCCUGUACAAUGUCAUGAACCUCAUUCCAUAGUUCAUCAGGCACUCUAUCUAUCAGAUCUAGGCCCUUAAAUCUAUUUCUCACUUCCACUGUAUAAUCAUAAGGGAUUUGAUUUAGGUCAUACCUGAAUGGUCUAGUGGUUUUCCCUACUUUCUUCAAUUUAAGUCUGAAUUUGGCAAUAAGGAGUUCAUGAUCUGAGCCACAGUCAGCUCCUGGUCUUGUUUUUGUUGACUGUAUAGAGCUUCUCCAUCUUUGGCUGCAAAGAAUAUAAUCAAUCUGUUUUCGGUGUUGACCAUCUGGUGAUGUCCAUGUAUUGAGUCUUCUCUUGUGUUGUUGGAAGAGGGUGUUUUUGCUAUGACCAGUGCAUUUUCUUGGCAGAACUCUAUUAGCCUUUGCCCUGCUUCAUUCCAUAUUCCAAGGCCAAAUUUGCCUGUUACUCAGGUGUUUCUUGACUUCCUACUUUUGCAUUCCAGUCCCCUAUAGUGAAGAGGACAUCUUUUUUGGGUGUUAGUUCUAAAAGGUCUUGUAGUUCUUCAUAAAACUGUUCAACUUCAGCUUCUUCAGCGUUACUGAUUGGGGCAUAGACUUGGAUUACCGUGAUACCGAAUGAUUUGCCUUAGAGAUAAACAGAGAUCAUUCUGUCGUUUUUGAAAUUGCAUCCAAGUACUGCAUUUCAGACUCUUUUGUUGCCCAUGAUGGCUACUCCAUUUCUUCUGAGGGAUUCCUGUCCUCAGUAGUAGAUAUAAUGGUCAUCUGAGUUAAAUUCACCUAUUCCAAUCCAUUUUAGUUCGCUGAUUCCUAGAAUGUUGAUGUUCACUCUUGCCAUCUCUUGUUUGACCACUUCCAAUUUGCCUUGAUUCAUUGACCUGACAUUCCCGGUUCCUAUGCAAUAUUGCUCUGUACAGCAUCGAACCUUGCUUCUAUCAUCUGUAACAUCCACAGCUUGGUAUUGUUUUUGCUUUGGCUCCUUCCUUUCAUUCUUUCUAGAGUUAUUUCUCCACUGAUCUCCAGUAGCAUAUUGGGCACCUACUGACCUGGGGAGUUCCUCUUUUAGUAUUCUAUUAUUUUGCCUUUUUGUACUGUUCAUGGGGUCUCAGGGCAAGAAUACUGAAGUGGUUUGCCAUUCUCUUCUCCUGUGGACCACAUUCUGUCAGACAUCUCUACCAUGACCUGCCCAUCUUGGGUUACCCCGAGGGCAUGGCUUAGUUUCAUUGAGAUAGACAAGGACAUCUCUACCAUGACCCGCCCAUCUUGGGUUGUCCCGCAGGCAUGGCUUAGUUUCAUUGAGUUAGACGAGGCUGUGGCCUUAGUGUGAUUAGAUUGGCUAGUUUUCUGUGAGUAUGGUUUCAGUGUGUCUGCCCUCUGAUGCCCUCUUGCAACACUACCAUCCUACUUGUGUUUCUCUUACCUUGGCUGUGGAUAUCUCUUCAGGGCUACUCCAGCAAAGCACAGCCACUGUUCCUUACCUUUGAUGAGGGGUAUCUCCUUACUCCCGCCCUUCCUGACCUUCAAUCUGGGAUGGCUCCUCUAUGCCCUCCUGCACCCACACAGCCACUGCUCCUUUGAGGUGGGGUUUCCACUCCCAGCUGCGGCCCCUGGCUUCAGACACGGGGUGGCUCCUCUCAGAGGCUGUUCCUGCACCCUCACAGCCUGGCACUCUAGGCCACUGCCCCUGACCUCGGACGUGGGGUAACUCCUCUUGGCUGCCACCCUUUGGGCAUAGGGUCCUCCUUAUAGCAUACCUAAAGUUUUUG